rnacentral:rRNA from 1 species
UACGUAGGGUGCAAGCGUUGUCCGGAAUUAUUGGGCGUAAAGAGCUCGUAGGCGGUUUGUUGCGUCGGCUGUGAAAUCCCGAGGCUCAACCUCGGGUCUGCAGUCGAUACGAGCAAACUAGAGUGUUGCAGGGGAGACUGGAAUUCCUGGUGUAGCGGUGAAAUGCGCAGAUAUCAGGAGGAAUACCGGUGGCGAAGGCGGCAUCCUGGACCGGCAUUGACGCUGAUGAGCGAAAGCUAGGGGAGCAAACGGG